CCUCACCAGGCAAAGGACACAAGGAUGAGGUGCAGCACAAUGAGGAGGAGUGGGGUCUACAACUCCCUCCUCUGCCAAUGGUUUUUGGUACUUGUAUUUGCUGAUGACACAAGAGGUGUGCAGAAAGGGCCAGGACCCCUCUGAACCGCAUGUCCCCACUAAGAAGCACCCAUAGCUCUUCCCCCUGCUCCCAGCUGAGAAUAGUACCUGGAUAAUGCAAGAACUAAAUGAAAAACUGAAGAAGGGAGGAGCCAGCACUGGCCCAGGGAAACUUGGAGCAACAGACUACAGGUGCCCAAGCAAUAGAUCCAGUCCUCGGCCCUCACUCUCCCCUUCUUGGCCAGCUGAAAGCUGAAGAUCAUGACCUGAAGAUUUCUUCUUCUAAAUGUGAUGCACAGCU